GGAGGAUACAGCUCAGUGGUAGAGUGCAUGCCUAGCAUGCAUGAGGUCCUGGGUUCAAUUCCCAGUACCUCCA
rnacentral:tRNA from 1 species